rnacentral:rRNA from 1 species
CAGCCGCCGCGGUAAUACGUAGGUGGCAAGCGUUGUCCGGAAUUAUUGGGCGUAAAGGGCUCGCAGGCGGUUUCUUAAGUCUGAUGUGAAAGCCCCCGGCUCAACCGGGGAGGGUCAUUGGAAACUUGGAAACUUGAGUGCAGAAGAGGAGAGUGGAAUUCCACGUGUAGCGGUGAAAUGCGUAGAGAUGUGGAGGAACACCAGUGGCGAAGGCGACUCUCUGGUCUGUAACUGACGCUGAGGAGUGAAAGCGUGGGGAGCGAACAGGAUUAGAUACCCGCGUAGUCCCUGUCUCUUAUAA